UUGCAAUGUAGCAUACCCGUUUGGUGAAAUACUCUGAUGAUUAUUGUUAUUUAUUUACUUUUGGGUAACGGGGUGUUACAAGUUUGGG
rfam:Medicago truncatula strain A17 unplaced genomic scaffold scaffold0295, whole genome shotgun sequence.